rnacentral:rRNA from 1 species
UACGUAGGUGGCAAGCGUUGUCCGGAAUUACUGGGCGUAAAGGGCGUGUAGGCGGCCUUUUAAGUCAGACGUGAAAUCUCCAGGCUUAACCUGGAAACUGCGUUUGAAACUGGAGGGCUUGAGGACCGGAGAGGGUAGUGGAAUUCCCAGUGUAGCGGUGAAAUGCGUAGAUAUUGGGAGGAACACCAGUGGCGAAGGCGACUGCCUGGACGGCACCUGACGCUGAGGCGCGAAAGCUAGGGGAGCAAACGGG